rnacentral:tRNA from 1 species
CAAGGAAUAGUUUAAUUAGAACAUCAGCUUUGGGAGUUGGCGGUGGAAAUGACUUUUUCUUCCUUGA